UCUGACAAGGACUCCCACGUCCCUCCCCGGCUAACCUGGAUCCUGCUCAACCCAACACCUGCCUUCUCUCGGUCCCUGGGUUCCCGCAGGCCUUGGGGCCCCACAGUCAUAUCUGCUGUUCCUGCAGCUCGGCACAGUCACAGCAACUCUCCAAAUCAUGACGCUCAAAAUGCCACAUCUAAAAAGAACAUCCGGGCUCUGCCCCUAAGAAAGAAUUCAUGCACCUACAAAGAGGAAGGAACGGCACAGCCAUCCACCUUUCAACUCCUGAGUUUCCAUCUGCACCCUUCAACACUUAUUAGGACUUACAUGAAACUAUGUGACAUCUUUUUAUUUCUAUUAAACAAAAUACAGCUUU
rnacentral:lncRNA from 1 species